rnacentral:rRNA from 1 species
UACGUAGGGGGCGAGCGUUGUCCAGAUUUAUUGGGCGUAAAGAGCGUGUAGGCGGCCAGGUAGGUCUGCUGUGAAAACUCGAGGCUCAACCUCGAGACGUCGGCGGAAACCAUCUGGCUAGAGUCCGGAAGAGGAGAGUGGAAUUCCUGGUGUAGCGGUGAAAUGCGCAGAUAUCAGGAAGAACACCCGUGGUGAAGGCGGUUCUCUGGGACGGUACUGACGCUGAGACGCGAAAGCGUGGGGAGCGAACAGG